UACAGAGGUCCCAAGCGUUGUUCGGAUUCAUUGGGCGUAAAGGGUGCGUAGGCGGCGCGGUAAGUCGGUGGUGAAAUCUCGGGGCUUAACUCCGAAACUGCAUUCGAUACUGCCGUGCUUGAGGACUGGAGAGGAGACUGGAAUUUACGGUGUAGCGGUGAAAUGCGUAGAUAUCGUAAGGAAGACCAGUGGCGAAGGCGGGUCUCUGGACAGUUCCUGACGCUGAGGCACGAAGGCCAGGGGAGCAAACGGG
rnacentral:rRNA from 1 species